GACUCUGGACAGCAAGGAGGCUGGGAAGGUGAGUUUUGCAACAAACACGGUGGAAGCCCAAGCAGAAAGAUUUCUUGUUUUUGCCUGGGUCCUUUCAUAGCUUACUGGUCUUUGUUUGCCUCUUAGUCCACGAGACUCAGCUCUAAAGCGCAGGUACUAGUUUUCUUUGGACUUCUGGUGUUUUUUUUUUUUUUUUUUUUUUUCCAGUUUCUUUUGUGAGCAGCUCUUCCUCAAGUCAUCUAUUCUGCUGUUACUGUUCAGAAUUUCAUCUUUUGGAGUUCCUGGGGUCCUGGCGGCUAAAGAUCCCGUGUUGUCCCUGCAGUGGCUCUGGUCACUGCUGUGAUUUGCAGAUGAUGGAAUACAUACCUAGGGAGAAAAUAUAUUGAGAAGCUCCCCCAAUUGGUGGGCGAGAUGGAGAAACUGAUUGAGACCAAACUUCUAAGAACAUCCAAAGCCAUAUUGCAAAUCUGGCUUAAUGGCGAAAGAACCAUCACCGAAGCUGCCCCUGAAGGCUAGAAACCAGAAAUCUCACUUAAAUGCAAACCAUGGCUGUUACCAGCCCCAAAGUUCCUUCUGAGCUGACAGCUAGACUGGGAAAACACACUGCCCUGCAAGCUGGAUGCCUUCGUUGUUUCUUGUACCAGCAACUCUGCAAGCGAGCUCCAAGCAGAGUCUGUCAUCACACUGACCAUUUCCCAACAGGAGCCUCAAAGUGAUGAAGGCUGGUCGUGUGCUGGUGGCAUUGUGACAGGGGAGUCCAGAAAUGAUUUGAGUUCUGACUUCCCCUGUGGAGAUAGGAACCCAUUAGGUCAUAUUUUCCCCCAGGUGCCAAAGCUGUUAAAAAGGUGAUGGUCAGCCACACCAAAAUGACCCACUUCUUAGUAUAGGAAUCCAUCUGGUGCCCUCCAUCAUCACCACUGAUGUCUCAGGCCCACCUCAUGAUCUCACCCAUCGCACCCUGGUCACCCUUCACUCUGGCUGUCGGAGCAUCUUUAUCUGAAGCAUAGUUCUGACACUGUCUAUGGUACCUCAUUUUCCUAGCACUUCAGCUACCCAGUGUGGUCCCUGACGAUCUGUCCUUUGUAUAGUGUUUCAGCCUCCUUCUCUGAAAGCCAUAACAGCUCCUGGAUGAGAGUUUAGAGGGUGGCAUGGGGACGCCUCUUGUGAAUCCAGUAUAGAGUCCCAGAGGACACACACAGGGCAUACCUGUGGCAGAUGUGGGGGCAGUUUAAAUGAGCGUUUUCAAAUAUAUCCUCCAUUGGGCCUGAAAUCUUACCACUAAGGUCUACACCUCUGGGUUUAGCAGCUCUGGGUACUGCCCUCAUAAACGGUAAUCCAUUGAGAAGAUCCCCUCAUGAAGGUCCGAAGACUUUGAAGAAAGGAGUCUUUCAGUUUCUUCUCCCUCUCAUCCAUUUCUUAAUCCCUAAGCUGGGACCCAGCACUCAAUCCCCACUCCCUCUACCCAGCCUGCUGCAAUUGCAACCAACAAAAGCCAGAAGGCAGUGAGGCAUGCGCGAAGGGGUGGGGAGAGGGAUUAGGGGCAGAGCUCGUCACCGGUGAGCAUGGGCCAUCCGUCUCAGGUAGAAGCGGAUGAAUAAUUGGUUCAGGACCAAAGUAAUGAUUACAGGGUGUGAUGUCACCCUCCACAAUGGCAGUCAGAAAAGAAGGGAAAUUUCCCAAGAUAAACUCUCCUGGUGUUAACAAGGGGGAGAAUCUGAGGUCAGAGGGAGCCAUGUGCAGGCUUUCUGCUCUGUCAGGAGUGACCUGUCCCAUAGUGACUGGGGCUGGGACAGCCACACUGGUCAAUGCAGGCUCUCCAGGCCAUCUCAUCUGGCCCUGCCCAGCCUUGCCACCUCUACCUAAUUCUUGAACCUUGCUGACCAGCACGGGAAGUGUAUUUGGAACCUCAGCCCCACCCCAGGUGGGGUUUGUUUAGAGUUUUUCUUGUUACCUGGGGACCCAGACCUGCUAUGGGUGCUCCCAUGAUACUCAUGUCCCCCUGCUUUAACCUAGGUGUGUGCCUUUUCUUCAGCUCAGCUUCUGAGUGUCUGCUGACCAAGGUCUGUAAUGAGACUUGUCCCAUCCGACUAGGGUCCCAGCACUCUUGUACUGCCCUUCAAAUUAGAGGUAUCCCACACGAUCACAUACAUGCCCGUGACCUUGACAUUCCCAGGGAUGGACUGUAAUUAUCAUUCUGGAAAUUGUGACACCAGAACAAUAUCAGUUACAACCAUUUAUUGAGUGAGAAUUACUUCUGUGUACAAAGCAGGCUUCCUCUGUGGUUUGGAUGCAGCACACACUCACUGGUAGAAACUACUCAAGGUCUAAUCCUGGGUUAUUUAUUAACAAUGAAACUUUGGCCAUGUUUUUCCACAUCCUUCCAUGAGCCUCUGUUUUCUACUCUAUGAAACAAGAGUAAUGUUAGUGAAUACACAUCAGAUGGCUGUUGAGAGGAUAAAAUGAGAUGAUACACAGAAAGGAGUUAGCGUGGUUUUUAGGACACAGUGAGUCAUAAUAGUAAAACCAACCAUCCUUUGCUUGCUUACAAAAAUAAUGUUACAAAUAAUUUAGGUAUAACUAUCAUAUUAUUAAAUGUCCUCAUUUUAAAUGUCCAGUCCAGCGAAUUUGACAAAUCAGUAUACCCACUGACUAGCACACAGAACUCAAAAAUUUUCCUUGGGUCUCCUCCCAGUCGCCUUGGUCUCCCACCUCUGGCUCCAGAUAACAACUGAUCAGCUUUCUGUCACUUUAGAUUGAAUUCAUCUUUUCUGGAAUUUAUAAAUUAAGCCAUAGAAUAAGAAACUGCCAGACUUUUCCAAAGUGACUGUACCAUUUUGCAUUCUCACCAGCAGUGUGUGAGAGUUCCAUUUGCUCCACUUCCUUGUCAACACUUGGUAUUGUCAGUCUUUUGAACUUUAGAGUUCUGUUUAGUGUGCUAAGUUAUCUCAUAUGCUUUUAACUUGUAUUCCCUGAUAGCUAAUAAUAUUUUCAAGUGCAUAUUGGUUUUUUUGUAUAUCUUCUCAUGAAAUGUGUUACCCAUUUAAAAAACUGGGGCUAUUUCCUUAUUAUUAUUCAAGUUCUUCAAAUAUCUGUAUACAAAUCCUAUUUCAGAUAUUUGCAUUAUGAAUAUUUUUCCAGUAUGGAGUUUUUUUGAUUACCUUAAUAUUUUACAUUUUGAUUAAAUUCAAUUUAUCUUUUUUAAAAUGGGUCGCAUUUUAGGCCCUUGGUAAGAAUUAUUUGCCUACCCAAUGUUGCAAAGAUUUUUCUUUUGUUUCUUAUAGAACUUUUAUAGUUUAAUUUUUAUAGUUAGGUCUGUGAUCAAUAUUUUAAAACUUUUUUCUUUUUAUUUAUCUAAUUUUUAAAUUAAAAAUUUUAGUGUAAUUUUUAAAGGUUACAUUCCAUUAUAGUGGUUAUAAAAUGUUAGCUGUUUUCCAUGAAGAAAUGCUCAACAUUGCUGAUUAUAAGAGAAAUGCAAAUCAAAACUACCAUGAGAUACCACCUCACACCAGUCAGAAUGGCCAUCAUUAAUAAAUAAGUCCACAAAUAACAAGUGCUGGAGGGGUUGUGGAGAAAAGGGAACCCUCCUGCACUGUUGGUGGGAAUGUAAACUGGUACAGCCACUAUGGAGAACAGUUUGGAGAUACCUUAGAAAUCUAUACAUAGAACUUCCAUAUGACCCCGCAAUCCCACUCUUGGGCAUAUAUCCGGACAAAACUCUCCUUAAAAGAGACACGUGCACCCGCAUGUUCAUUGCAGCAUUAUUCACAAUAGCCAGGACAUGGAAACAGCCCAAAUGUCCAUCGACAGAUGAUUGGAUUCAGAAGAUGUGGUAUAUAUACACAAUGGAAUACUACUCAGCCAUAAAAAGAAUGACAUCAUGCCAUUUGCAGCAACAUGGAUGGAACUAGAGACUCUCAUACUGAGUGAAAUGAGCCAGAAAGACAAAGAUAAAUACCAUAUGAUAUCACAUAACUGGAAUCUAAUAUCCAACACAAAUGAAUAUCUCCACAGAAAAGAAUAUCAUGGACUUGGAAAAUAGAUUUGUGGCUGCCUGAUGGGAGGGGGAGGGAGUGGGAGGGAUCGGGAGUUUGGGCUUAUCAGACACAACUUAGAAUAGAUUUACAAGGAGAUCCUGCUGAGUAGCAUUGAGAACUAUGUCUAGAUACUCAUAUUGCAGCAGAAUAAAGGGUGGGGGAAAAAUGUAUACAUGUAAGGAUAACUUGAUCCCCUUCCUGUACAGUGGGAAAAAAAAUAAAUUAAUAAAAAGCUUAAAAAAAUG
rnacentral:lncRNA from 1 species